AGGAGAUACACCUGUUCUCAUGCCGAACACAGAAGUUAAGCCCU
rnacentral:rRNA from 13 species